rnacentral:tRNA from 13 species
UUUUUAUUAGCCAAACAGAAAAGUUUUUUCCUUUAAAAAAGUCAAGUUUCAGAUCAGUCACAAAAAC